GACGUAGGGCGCGAGCGUUGUCCGGAUUUAUUGGGCGUAAAGAGCUCGUAGGCGGCUUGUCGCGUCGUCCGUGAAAACCCACGGCUUAACUGUGGGCUUGCGGUCGAUACGGGCAGGCUGGAGUUCGGUAGGGGAGACUGGAAUUCCUGGUGUAGCGGUGAAAUGCGUUGAUAUCAUCAGGAACACCGGUGGCGAAGGCGGCUUUCUGGGUCUUACCUGACGCUGAGGAACGAAAGCCAGGGGAGCGAACGGG
rnacentral:rRNA from 1 species